UACGAAUGGAGCAAGCGUUGUUCGGAAUCACUGGGCAUUAAGGGCGCGUAGGCGGCCUUGUAAGUCACGGGUGAGAGCCCACUGCUCAACGGUGGAAGUGCCUGUGAUACUGCGAGGCUCGAGUGCGGGAGAGGAGAACGGAAUUCCAGGUGGAGCGGUGAAAUGCGUAGAUAUCUGGAAGAACACCGGUGGCGAAAGCGGCUCUCUGGUCCGCUACUGACGCUGAGGCGCGAAAGCUAGGGGAGCAAACAGG
rnacentral:rRNA from 1 species